rnacentral:lncRNA from 1 species
UACAGCGAUCGGGUUGGUCGAUCUCGGAGGUCUCUGCGUCGAUUCUUUUCCAAGAGUUUUCCCUGCAAAUAGCUGUAGAAAGAUUCAGCAAAAGGUUCACUUGUAUAUCUGUUCUAAACGUUGAUAUAGUGAACGCAUGGUAGUUUAGUUCUACCCCCAGACGUACCGCGAGGGAACUGGGUUAACAAGUUUGCCUGUGUCAUUAGUCUAGAUUCUUCCGCAAGAACACCUUAGUUGAAUCUAGCUCAAUCGAAUUGAUCAAGCUUUUGGGACUAAGAAAUUGAUUCUAGUGUUAGUCGGAUUUCUUAACAAAGUGGUAUCAGAGCAUAGGCUUAUAGAUCGCCGGAGGGAUUACGGUUAAGUGAUCAGGGGGCGAUCUUGGAUCUGAGUUCGAUUGGUUAUCUUUGAAAUUCCUGAAGUCAGUCGAGUUUCUUCUUGGACCAAGUUAUUACUGCAUUCUUUUGGUCUUGGCUCAAGAACAGGAAAGAUGGAAGCAGUUAAGAAGUUUGAGAUGGAGAAGUUUGAUGGCAAAGGUGAUUUCGGUAUGUGGAAGUUUCGCAUGUUGAUGCAACUUGAGUUGCAAGGUUUUGGGAAACAAGUAAAGGAAAUCACAGGAGAGGUUAAGGAUGACACAAAAGGCAAGGACUUAGAAGAAGUGGACUCUGAAACAGGUGUGGCGUUAACUCCGGACCAGAUCAUAGAAAGAGAUGUGAGAAUCCGGAAUCUCAUAUGCUCAAGCUUAACAUCAAUGGUCCUCAGAAAAGUCAUGAAGGAAACGACAGCAGCUGGUGUGUGGAAAGCCUUAGAGGCUGAUUAUCAGACGAAGACUCUACCUAACAGAAUCUAUCUCAAGCAACGGUUUGCAAGUUACAGGAUGGACAAGAAUAAAUCAAUAGAUGAAAACAUGGAUGGUUUCUUGAGACUGGUUGAUGAGUUGGAAAGUUUGAAUAUCCAGAUAAGCGAUGAAGAUUAAGCCAUUCAAGUGUUGUCCGGGUUGCCCGAACAGUAUGCUUCUUUGGUGCACACAUUGAAGUAUGGAAACAAAGGCAAGGAUACCCUGACACUAGCUGAAGUGGUGCAAUCAGCUCACGCAAAGGAGGUGGAGCUUCGUGAGUCUGGUCUCUUGAAUAAGUCAAACCACACAUCAGAAGGGUUAUACGCGGGUCAAGGAAAGUCUGUAAAGAAAAGCAAAGGAAAGUUUGCUGGGGGAAAACAGAAGUCUGGGAAAUCAAAGAAGGAUUCCCAGGGAGGACAAGUCAAAGCACGAGAGUGCUGGGUGUGUGGCAAGGAAGGUCAUUUUAAGAAAGACUGUCCACAAAAGAAAACUCAGGCAUCCUCAAGCUCAGCAAAUUUGGCUCAAGAAAGUGAGAAACCAAUGAUUCUCACGGCGAGCACAAAAUAUGCUAAAGACGAGUGGGUGCUGGAUUCAGGGUGUACGUUUCACAUCACACCAGAAAAGGAUCUACUAUUUGAUCUCACGGAAUUUAAUGGAGGAAAAGUGUUAAUGGGAAAUAACACAUUUAGUGAGAUCAAAGGUAUAGGAAAACUGAAGAUUGUUAAUCCAAGCAAUUCAACAGUUGUUCUAACUGAGGUAAGAUACAUGCCAUCAAUGGGCAGAAAUCUGAUUUCCUACGGACAGUUGGAAAAGGAAGGAUGUUCUUAUGAAGGGAAAGAUUUCACGGUCACAUUCAAAAAGGAUGGGAAGAAUGUUCUUACUGGAAAGUAUAAAGACGGGCUCUACUACUUACAAGGGUCAGUAGUUGAAGGAGAGGUGGAUACAGUUUCUAGAGCUGCGGUUAAUCUGACAAACAGGUGGCAUUCCAGGUUGGGGCACAUGAGCUUAAAGAAUAUGAAUCAGUUGGUUAAAGAUGGUUAUCUUAACAAAAAGGAAGUUCAUACUCUGGAUUUUUGUGAAGAAUGUGUUCUUGGGAAAGCACACAAGUUAAGUUUUCCAACAGGCAAGCAUACAUCAACCGUGAACUUAGAAUAUGUUCACAGUGAUCUUUGGGGAUCUGCAGCGAAUUCUGAGAGCUUAUCAGGCUGUAAAUAUUUCUUGACCAUCAUUGAUGACUAUUCCCGAAAGGUCUGGAUCAGAUUUCUAAGGAGUAAAGAUGAAGUGUUUGGAAAUUUUUCAGAAUGGAAGCUCUUGGUGGAAAAUCAGACGGGUAAAAAGAUCAAGUGUCUCAGGACGGAUAAUGGGUUGGAAUUUUUCAAUGUUCAAAUGGACAAGAUAUGCAAGGACUCAGGAAUAAAGAGGCAUAGGACCUGUACCUAUACUCCACAGCAAAAUGGGGUUUCAGAAAGGAUGAACAGGACCAUUGCUGAUAAGGUUAGGUGUAUGUUAGCGGAAUCUGGAUUGGAGAAAAAGUUUUGGGCAGAAGCAGCAUCUACAGCAGUAUAUCUCAUCAACAGGACACCUAAUGCAUCACUUAAGUUCAAGAUACCAGAAGAGUUGUGGUCAGGGACAAAAAUCGGAUAUGAUCAUCUCAGAAGGUUCGGGUGUAUAGCUUAUGUUCAUACUAUUCAAGACAAGAUCAGUCCUCGGGCUUUAAAAGGUAUUUUUAUGGGGUAUCCUCAUGGAACCAAGAGUUACAGGAUCUGGUUGUUAGAAGAACAAAAGACUACAAUCAGCCGAAAUGUUAUCUUUGAUGAAUCCAGGGUGUAUAAGGAUUUGGGGAAAAAUGAAGAAGAAAGCCUUGAACUUAGUGAAAAGGUUGUCAUUAACCCAAAGACUAAGAAGGUCCCAGGCUCAAGGGUCACAAGAGUAAACAGAGCAGGCUCAUCUGGAAGGAGACGAUCUACGGUUCAAGGUGGAGCUGUUUCAGUUGAGUCAGAAGAUUCAGAUACCGAAGAAAAUGGGUCUGAGGGUGAUCAAGAAGAUGGUUCUGAACAGGAAAAUGCAGGGGUGGAAGAAAAUCUAGAUAACUAUAUCUUAGCUAGGGACAGAGAAAGAAGAACGAUUCGUCCCCCAGCAAUGUUUGAAAGUGGGGACUAUGUUGCUUAUGCCCUAGCAAGUGCAGAAUUGAUUGAACCUCAAGAACCGAGAACUGUUUCAGAAGCGAGAAGAAGUAAAGAGUGGAAACAGUGGAAUGAGGCCAUGGUAGAGGAGAAGCAAUCUCUUGAUAAAAAUCACACAUGGGACAUUGUGGAUAGACCUCAGAAAAAGAAGAUCGUUGGUUCGAAAUGGAUUUUCAAAUUGAAAGAGGGAAUUCCAGGAGUUGAACCACCUAGAUACAAAGCAAGACUUGUAGCUAAGGGAUUCACUCAGGUGGAAGGAAUAGACUACAACGAGAUCUUCUCUCCAGUAGUGAAACAUGUCUCGAUAAGGAUAAUGCUAUCAGUGGUUGUGAAUUUCGAUAUGGAACUCGAGCAACUAGACGUGAAGACUGCAUUCCUUAAUGGUAAACUAGAUGAAACUAUUUACAUGGAACAACCAGAGGGUUUUAUCGAGAAAGGAAAUGAAGGAAAGGUAUGUCUGUUGAAGCGGUCUCUUUAUGGUUUAAAACAGUCGCCGAGACAGUGGAAUCACAGGUUCAAUGAGUUCAUUCAGUCACAAGGUUUUAAGAGAAGUGUGAAGGAUCCAUGCGUGUAUUACAAAGGUUCAGUUGUGGAGGAUAGUGUCUACUUGUUAUUAUAUGUUGAUGACAUGUUAAUAGCAGCUAGAGACAUGGUGAAGAUCAGGGCACUAAAGAAGAGUUUGAGUGCAGAAUUUGAAAUGAAGGAUCUUGGAGCAGCUAACAGAAUUUUGGGAAUGGAGAUCAUAAGAGACAGGAAAAAGGGAAUUCUGAAGCUUUCACAGGCAAGAUACAUAAGUCAAGUUUUAAGGACGUUUAACAUGAAAGAAAGUAAGCCUGUUGUCACGCCAAUAAACUCAUUGUUCAAACUUAGAAGUUUAUCAGAGGAGGAGUUAAGGGUUGAAGCUUCUCUAAUGGAAUCAGUUCCCUAUGCAAGUGCAGUGGGAAGUCUGAUGUAUGCCAUGAUUGGGUCAAGACCGGAUUUGGGUUAUGCAGUUUGUUUGGUGAGUCGGUUUAUGGCAAAGCCAGGAAGGAAUCAUUGGGCUGCUGUUAAAUGGGUUUUGAGGUAUCUUCGGGGAGCUACAGAUUUAAGUUUGACUUUCUCAAGGGCUGAUUCAAUGGAAAUUGAAGGUUUCAGUGAUUCAGAUUAUGCUACUGAUCUUGACAGAAGAAGAUCAGUAACAGGUUAUGUUUUUCAGGUUGGAGGAAAUACUGUUAGUUGGAGGUCCACAUUGCAGCAUGUAGUGGCUUUGUCCACCACAGAGGCUGAAUAUAUGGCCAUGUCAGAAGCAACUAAGGAAGGUUUAUGGUUAAGGGAAUUUUGCAACGAGUUGGGGUUUAAUUUUGAGUAUUUUAAGCUACAUAGCGACUCUCAGAGUGCUAUCAAUUUGGCUAAAAAUGCAGUUCAUCAUGACAGGACAAAGCACGUUGCUACCAAGAUUCAUUUUAUCCGAGACAUCCUAGAUGAAGGGCUAAUCCGCAUUGUUAAAGUUCACACUACUCUAAAUCCGGCAGAUAUGUUGACUAAGAGUUUACCUGGAAAUUCUUUCGAGAAGUGCCUCGUAACUCUCAAAGUCGUCGCCUGAUCGUCUACAGGCGUACUCGUUGAUGGCUCUGUUGGUUGGGCCAUCUCGCACGAGAAAUAAGGAGGAACAGGGUUAGUUUCUCGGUGGAAAAGAUUAAACCAACAAAGUUCAGAAGGUAAAUUCUGAGGUAUCUGGUAAAAGAUAAACAGGAGAAGAGUUUUGGUGUACAUGCAUGUGUUGAGGGGACUUACUUAGCACAAGGAGGAAGCGCAUCGUACUCUUGCAUCUCGGCCUGAGCUGUUUUUUCUCGGGAUAAGGAGAAGUCACGGCGAAGAAGAGAUAGAAGUUAGUAUAACUUCGUGUUUCUAAUUCUAAGAUCUGAAGAGAAGUUCAGAGGUCACUUACUUAGAGGAGAACUGAAGUCGAUUGGAGCUGGAGGCGGCGGUAAGGUCAGCGACGGUGAGGUCGGAGGAACCAAGGUCGUGAGCAGGAUCGAUUCAGGAGGUGUUUGCGGUGGAGUAGCUGGAGGAGUCAAAGGAGGUGACUCCAUAACCUAAGUCGCUGUUGAGUCGGCUAGGGUUGGUGAAGAGACAAGACAACGACAAAGGUGGAGAUUUGUGGAGUAGUUGUCGUUUUGGUGUCUAAGUC